rnacentral:rRNA from 1 species
GUCGACGAUGAAUCUUCUAGCUUGCUAGAAGUGGAUUAGUGGCGCACGGGUGAGUAAUGCAUAGGUUAUGUGCCCUUUAGUCUGGGAUAGCCACUGGAAACGGUGAUUAAUACUGGAUACUCCCUACGGGGGAAAGUUUUUCGCUAAAGGAUCAGCCUAUGUCCUAUCAGCUUGUUGGUGAGGUAAUGGCUCACCAAGGCUAUGACGGGUAUCCGGCCUGAGAGGGUGAUCGGACACACUGGAACUGAGACACGGUCCAGACUCCUACGGGAGGCAGCAGUAGGGAAUAUUGCUCAAUGGGGGAAACCCUGAAGCAGCAACGCCGCGUGGAGGAUGAAGGUUUUAGGAUUGUAAACUCCUUUUGUUAGAGAAGAUUAUGACGGUAUCUAACGAAUAAGCACCGGCUAACUCCGUGCCAGCAGCCGCGGUAAUACGGAGGGUGCAAGCGUUACUCGGAAUCACUGGGCGUAAAGAGUGCGUAGGCGGGGUAAUAAGUCAGAUGUGAAAUCCUGUAGCUUAACUACAGAACUGCAUUUGAAACUGUUACUCUGGAGUGUGGGAGAGGUAGGUGGAAUUCUUGGUGUAGGGGUAAAGUCCGUAGAGAUCAAGAGGAAUACUCAUUGCGAAGGCGACCUGCUGGAACAUUACUGACGCUGAUGCACGAAAGCGUGGGGAGCAAACAGGAUUAGAUACCCUGGUAGUCCACGCCCUAAACGAUGGAUGCUAGUUGUUGCCUUGCUUGUCAGGGCAGUAAUGCAGCUAACGCAUUAAGCAUCCCGCCUGGGGAGUACGGUCGCAAGAUUAAAACUCAAAGGAAUAGACGGGGACCCGCACAAGCGGUGGAGCAUGUGGUUUAAUUCGAAGAUACGCGAAGAAACCUUACCUAGGCUUGACAUUGAU